UUAGGCAUUGUGGUGUUUGGGCUGGCUCGUCGGAUUGCCGCUCCACUCGAAGUCCAGCAUUGAGUAUGGUUUCUGGAUUUGGCCCAGAGAGGGUGAGAGGCCCGUGCGGGUGGAGUUUCAGACAUGAUUGGCAGUUCACCAGGCCAGCCUUAGAGUCGGGUUGUUUGAGAAUGCAGCCCAAAGCGGGUGGUAAACUCCAUCCAAGGCUAAAUACUAGCACGAGUCCGAUAGCGAACAAGUACCGUGAGGGAAAGUUGAAAAGUACUUUGAAGAGAGAGUAAACAGUACGUGAAACCGCAUGGAGGUAAACGGGUGGCGUCAAGCUGCAAGCCUGGGGAAUUCAGUCGGUCAGGUUGUUACAUGUGCCUAGCGCAUUUAUCAGUCGGUUGGGCUAGUCCGUGCGUCAAAUACGGACCUGCUUGCAGGAUUUGCUGUCGACUUUGGCUGGUCGAGCAAACUGGCUCAACUACUGGAUUGUCUGAUCGAUGCACUUUCUCUAUGGUGGACACCACGACCGGUGGUACUGCCAGUCUGCUUUGGUCAAAUCCUUGUUGCCUUUUUAAGGUGGCUUGGGUCACAUGCAAUUUCAGUGCACGGUGCUUGAUCGUUUCGGCGUUUGAGCAUGUUAUCGGACAUUGGUUGUAAACGGAUUGUGUGCGGUGGUUGUAAACUGCUGUGCGCGUCUGGUGGACCUUAGUGGUAUGAAUAACUGUGCAGGGCACUGUUGUUAUCGGUCUCGAAUUCUGGUUGCCGCACACUUUACAAGUGGUCGCGUAGGCGUUGUCCGGGCUUGCCUGUGCUUCGAUCUGAUUGUCGUGUCGCCUGCAUAAAGU
rnacentral:rRNA from 1 species